UACAGAGGGUGCAAGCGUUAAUCGGAAUUACUGGGCGUAAAGCGCGCGUAGGUGGUUUGUUAAGUUGGAUGUGAAAUCCCCGGGCUCAACCUGGGAACUGCAUCCAAACUGGCAAGCUAGAGUAUGGUAGAGGGUGGUGGAAUUUCCUGUGUAGCGGUGAAAUGCGUAGAUAUAGGAAGGAACACCAGUGGCGAAGGCGACCACCUGGACUGAUACUG
rnacentral:rRNA from 1 species